AUAAACUGCUUUCAAACUGCUAAGGACCAAGUGAUAAGAGCUGACAACCAUGGGAGACGACAAAGUGACGUUGUAUGCAAACAAUGACUUUGGAGGGAAAUCAACGACCGUAACCGGAGAACAGCAGGACUUGCGUAGAUUUCUCCCGGAUGGGGCCUCCUCGAUUAGAUGCGGAGAUAAUAACACCACGCAAUGGACAGUCUAUACAGAAAUCAACUUUAAGGGACGCCACUCCAUACUGGACAAAGAUGGCAGUUAUACUAAUGUCGAUGCUAUGGGUCUUCCAUCCCCAGUCAUGAGCAUCCGUAAGACCGUGUAGACACGGCGAAAGAUACGUGGAAGAACUGGUCGUUUAAGCAACCUAAUUAUGGUAAAAAAGUAAAAUGAAAUUUAAUUUAAUUAAAGGUUGCUCUUUUUGUACUUGACAUUUAUGACUCUCCACGCA